rnacentral:rRNA from 1 species
AGAGUUUGAUCCUGGCUCAGGACGAACGCUGGCGGCGUGCAAUAAUACAUGCAAGUCGAACGAACUCUGGUAUUGAUUGGUGCUUGCAUCAUGAUUUACAUUUGAGUGAGUGGCGAACUGGUGAGUAACACGUGGGAAACCUGCCCAGAAGCGGGGGAUAACACCUGGAAACAGAUGCUAAUACCGCAUAACAACUUGGACCGCAUGGUCCGAGCUUGAAAGAUGGCUUCGGCUAUCACUUUUGGAUGGUCCCGCGGCGUAUUAGCUAGAUGGUGGGGUAACGGCUCACCAUGGCAAUGACUACCGUAGCCGACCUGAGAGGGUAAUCGGCCACAUUGGGACUGAGACACGGCCCAAACUCCUACGGGAGGCAGCAGUAGGGAAUCUUCCACAAUGGACGAAAGUCUGAUGGAGCAACGCCGCGUGAGUGAAGAAGGGUUUCGGCUCGUAAAACUCUGUUGUUAAAGAAGAACAUAUCUGAGAGUAACUGUUCAGGUAUUGACGGUAUUUAACCAGAAAGCCACGGCUAACUACGUGCCAGCAGCCGCGGUAAUACGUAGGUGGCAAGCGUUGUCCGGAUUUAUUGGGCGUAAAGCGAGCGCAGGCGGUUUUUUAAGUCUGAUGUGAAGGCCUUCGGCUCAACCGAAGAAGUGCAUCGGAAACUGGGAAACUUGAGUGCAGAAGAGGACAGUGGAACUCCAUGUGUAGCGGUGAAAUGCGUAGAUAUAUGGAAGAACACCAGUGGCGAAGGCGGCUGUCUGGUCUGUAACUGACGCUGAGGCUCGAAAGUAUGGGUAGCAAACAGGAUUAGAUACCCUGGUAGUCCAUACCGUAAACGAUGAAUGCUAAGUGUUGGAGGGUUUCCGCCCUUCAGUGCUGCAGCU